rnacentral:rRNA from 1 species
AAUGCCCGAAAGGGUGACCCAGCAACGCCGCGUGGAGGAUGAAUGCCGUAAGGUUGUAAACUCCUGUUAGAGGGGAAGAAUAAUUCCGAUCGACUCGGAAAUUGACUGUACCCUCAGAGAAAGCCCCGGCUAACUACGUGCCAGCAGCCGCGGUAAUACGUAGGGGGCAAGCGUUGUCCGGAUUUACUGGGUGUAAAGGGCGCGCAGGUGGGUUGACAAGUCAGAGGUGAAAUCCUACAGCUUAACUGUAGAACUGCCUUUGAGACUGUCAAUCUUGAGUACGGAAGAGAGAGAUGGAAUUCCAGGUGUAGUGGUGAAAUACGUAGAUAUCUGGAAGAACACCAGUGGCGAAGGCGGUCUCUUGGUCCAAUACUGACACUAAGGCGCGAAAGCGUGGGGAGCAAA